rnacentral:rRNA from 1 species
GAUGAACGCUGGCGGCGUGCCUAAUACAUGCAAGUCGAGCGAACAGACGAGGAGCUUGCUCCUCUGACGUUAGCGGCGGACGGGUAAGUAACACGUGGAUAACCUACCUAUAAGACUGGGAUAACUUCGGGAAACCAGAGCUAAUACCGGAUAAUAUAUUGAACCGCAUGGUUCAAUAGUGAAAGACGGUUUUGCUGUCACUUAUAGAUGGAUCCGCGCCGCAUUAGCUAGUUGGUAAGGUAACGGCUUACCAAGGCAACGAUGCGUAGCCGACCUGAGAGGGUGAUCGGCCACACUGGAACUGAGACACGGUCCAGACUCCUACGGGAGGCAGCAGUAGGGAAUCUUCCGCAAUGGGCGAAAGCCUGACGGAGCAACGCCGCGUGAGUGAUGAAGGUCUUCGGAUCGUAAAACUCUGUUAUUAGGGAAGAACAAAUGUGUAAGUAACUAUGCACGUCUUGACGGUACCUAAUCAGAAAGCCACGGCUAACUACGUG